rnacentral:other from 1 species
GUUCACUGCCGCGCAGGCGGUUUAGAAA